rnacentral:rRNA from 1 species
GACGAAGGGGGCUAGCGUUGUUCGGAAUUACUGGGCGUAAAGCGUGUGUAGGUGGUUGUCUAAGUUGGAUGUGAAAGCCUUGAGCUCAACUCAAGAAAUGCAUUCAGGACUGGGCGGCUAGAGGACCGGAGAGGAUAGUGGAAUUCCCAGUGUAGUGGUGAAAUACGUAGAGAUUGGGAAGAACACCAGUGGCGAAGGCGGCUAUCUGGACGGUUUCUGACACUAAGACUCGAAAGCGUGGGGAGCAAACAGG